AGAGUCUGGACUAUGACAACAGUGAGAAUCAGCUGUUUCUGGAGGAGGAGAGACGGAUGAGCUUCUUAGGGUUCAAGUGUUUGGAGAUCAGUCGGUGGGUGAUCUGUGGUCUGAUUGGCUUCCUGACUGGACUCAUAGCCUGCUGCAUAGAUAUCGCCGUGGAGAACCUGGCUGGGGUCAAGUACUACGUUGUCAAACAGAACAUCGAGAAGUUUACGGAGGUGGGAGGUCUCUCCAUCUCCC